UUAGGUUCUGGCUGGGGCAGGAGGGAAAGGCGGGGUCCAAGGCGUCAGGGCCUGCGGACGACGUGUGUGUGAAAGGGCGCGUCAGCCAUAAGAAGCCAUACGAGUGCGAGCAGGUCCCCACUGUCCCCGCGGCGUUGUCACCAUCAUCAUGAGGCCACUGGAGCAGCCUCAGGCGCUGCUGACGGGGAUCCGGGCGCGGGGGGCGUCGGGCUCUGCAGGUUGGCACUCACACUCAGCGCGCAGGAUGGCAGGCAAGUGCGUCCUGAAUCCUGCCCGCGGCUACCCCACACCGCGCCUGUGAGUUCCCGGCCCGGCAUUGCUCCAUGACCUAUGCAUAGGCGGAACUCUUGACCACCACCCACAGGAACCUCACUUACAUUGGCGUAAGAACAAAAACGCGACUGAUGCUUCCACAUAACUGAAAAUGUCAGAAGUAGGCCUUCAGGCAUGGAUGUAUCCCGCUGCACAUUGACCAUGGUCCUGGAAGUUUUCUCUCCGUCUCUCAGCUUCUUUCCUUUUUACUGGCUUCCCUUGUGGAGGCAAGAUGAUCGCCAGGACCUCCUGAGGUUUACAUGUUAUCAGAUUGUCAACCUCAACAAAAAGGAGAUUCUUUUUUUCCCAGCCUUCCAGGCUGGGCAGUGGAAUAGCACAUUUCAAACCUACAAGAAAGAAGUGUGCCUCCCAGGUAAUUCAGUAAGGAAAGCAAGUCCUCAGCCACUUGGCCCUGACCCCAACAUACCCCUGUGGGGUGAGGAGAGCAGAGGAUGUGGGUCCAGAAGCUGCAUCCCAUGAGAGAAUGCUCCAAACACAAAAGUCUGGUUGUAGGAGCUAUCCCUGGGCCUCCGGAACACCUCCCAGGCCCUCACAACGCCUGAGUUCAGGAGGCCACCUAAUGUACCUGCCUUGGGCAUCAGCUUCUCCGUCUGCCCCUGGAGGUGAUGGCAGCCCCUCUUCUUCCUGCCUGAGGGUGUAACGCAGGUCACUUGGGAUGGAUGUGGAAGCUCUUGCAGACCAGAGUGUGACAGAUGGCCAUAAAGGCAGCACUCAUGUGCCCAUAAGCUCUAGAGCUCCUUGUACAUGCCCAUUUUCAGAGGGGACCAUGAGACUUGCUCAUUGUAGCACAGCAGGAAGCGCCCGAGAAUCCCAGCGCACCUGAUUUGCAAGCUCCGAUGCAUUCCCCUCCAAAUGAUCUUGGAGGCCUCAGGGCGAGCCACGGUAGCCUGCCUCUUUCCAAGCUGCAGUAGGAGCUGGGGACCCUGCCCCCAGACACCAUCUUCCUGAGCGCGCAUCUCCUGUGCCCGAGAGCCUCCUGUCUCCCUGCAAAUGCAGCAUCAAGCUCAGUUCUGUCAUUUCUGGAUCUUGCUCAGAUGCACCCUGGCCCCUGGGCCAUCUGCUGUGAGUGCCAGACCAGAUUCGGGGGCCGCCUGCCUGUGUCCAGGGUGGAAGCAGCACUGCCUUACUGGGUCCCUCUGUCCCUGAGACCCGGAAAGCAGCACCCCUGCUGGAUGCAUGCUCCUGGCGCAACUGCUGGCGGAUCUGCGGUGAUGAGUGCCUGCUGCCCAAGUGCCAGCAGCUCCAGGCCCCCUACCAGGACCAGCUACCGGCUCCCCCAGUGCGUCUGCUGCCCCUUGGCCUCCUGACCCUCCUCCAGGCCAUCCUGAGGGUCAUCAUGGCCAUUCGCCAGUUUUUUGGGGUUUGAAGUUGGAAUCUUCAGCCACUGUCAGGAACAACCACAAAAAUGUGUCACGAUCAAGAUCUUUAACAAGAGUCCUCCGAUCAGGAGGCAUCUGUGACAGUCGCUGUCUUCUCAUAGAACAGGAUCCACACCCAAGAUUCAACCCAAAUUAUUUCUCAUCAGGGGGGUCUUGUCCCCAUCUCCAUGUCCCUGGGGGAGGGUACCUAUUUCCGAAUGUCUCUUCUGGGACAGCAGACCCACUGGAUGAGGGCCAGAAUAUGGUUUCAGCACCUGUGUC